UGGAAUGCCAACAGCAGAACCAAUGUGA
rnacentral:piRNA from 1 species